rnacentral:lncRNA from 1 species
GUUUGUUUAAUGUUUUAAAAAUUGUGCAAGUAACUACAAAUGUGUUAACAUACUUCUAAAUCCUUUGGAAGCAAAGACAAACAAAAAUUUCAACUAUAAUCCUAAAUAUAAGAAAAUAUUCAAAUUAAUUAAUAUAUUUUGUGUAUUUUAAACUUGCAACUAUAUACCCUUAACUAUCUACUAGUAUUGUGUCCUAACAUUGAGGCUUAAACAAAACUAAUCACACAUAAUAGCCUACUGGAAUGUAGGUAAAAAUUAACACAAGUUUCAUAAACAUGGUAAUAAAGAGGUACAAAAUAUUAAAUGUAUCUUCAAACUUUGUAAUGUUUGAGACCUCUGGAAUGUAAAACAGAAAUGAUGUGUGGUAUUGCAGAAAUAUCAAUAUACAUGUACUACAGUAUAACAAGAGGCUGCCAAAAUGACAACAAAGCAGGUUGUUUUACUUUUUUCAGUGUCAUUGUUAUAGCAGUAAAGGACCAUAACUCAACUUACUGAAAGUAAAUAACUUAAAAUGAUAUUUUCCAAUCAAUUCAGGAUUCCUAAACCUCAAAUAUGAAUAUCAUCAAUAUCAAACUUUAUCAUCUAAUUUUAUGAUCAGUAACAACAUUAUAAUAUGUGACAUCAUUGACCAAAUGGUAUAUAUCCAGAAAUUGGUUGAGCCCACCCACACAUUCAACCCAAAAUCAAUAACUGGAUUUCUGUCUGAAAACCUUUUUAAAAAUGCAUUAUGGUAUAAUAAUCCUUGCUAAAGCCCUCUCUAAUUUCAGGCAGAAAAUAAAUGUCAUAAUGCAUAAAAUAGCACUAAAAUGUGGAGUAUUGGAUUAUAAAUUAAUAUGAAGGUCAAAUUUUUUGAACGCCUUGAUUAACUGAGGAACAAUUGAACAUAUACAAUAUAAAUUUAUAUGUUGGAUAGGAAUAUAAUAUAUAUAAUUUGGUAAAAGCAACAAUUUAAACAAGUAUUCUUGUGCUUUUAAACAUAGUUAAGCAAGGGCAAAAAUUCAAUUACAUACAGUGUUAAAAAAGUUUG